CGAAACUCCGUUACAGAGCCUCAUCUACUCUCAAUCAAUGGUGUUCUUCAAUACAAUUUUAAUGGAUUCUUUAAGCAAAAAGUAGAACGAAAAACAAAAUAGAUAAAUUAUGUUUGUCAGGGAAAAAAUCCUAUAAAUAAGAGAAAUACUCCCACCGCUAUAUCUGUCACCAUUGUUGUGAAUCUUUUUUUUCUCCCCUUCUAAAAAACAGGUUUGAUUCUCUUUGCAGGAAAGAGACACACGAUAAACCGAUUUAUAAGCAAUUUUCUAUUUUUCAAUCCUCUUUUCAAAAAAGUCACCUUUUUUGUUGUCUUUCCAUUAGAUUAUGAUUCUCUCUACUGUAAUCAUUUUUAACCGUUUUCCUCUGCAUGCUUUUCGCUUUCUGUGUCUCUUUUACCUAAAAACGCCAUUUGAAUAAAAAUGGCGGUUUUGGAUUCUGGAGGCGUCGCUGUGCCGCCGACGGAUAAUGGCGUUGCGGAUCUCGAUAUGCUUCCUCGUCGUAAAUCGAGAUCAGAUUCUUCCAACGGACUUCUUUCUGAUUCCGUUUCCAUCACCGACGAUGUUGGAGCUACGGCGGCCGAAGAUGCGAUGGAUCCGGUUGCUUCCGCUGUUGAGGAGGAGGCUCAGGGAACAACGAAAUUAGCUGGCGGAGAUACCGAAACUAGGGAAUCCGGCGGAGGCGGCGAUGUAAAGUCCUCUUAGCUCUGACGCUAUCUUCACACAAGUAAUCGGGCUCAGAUUCCUUCAUUAUAUCAGGGAAUGCUUAUAGCUUGAGACUGUAUAACUUCUUGGUUCAAUACAUAUGGUACACAGAGGGUAUGAUGCUUUGAAAGUAAGUUUGUAACUAAUUGGAUUAUCAUGAGAGCAUCUAAUAUCCAAGGAGGGAGGAGGAUCGUAUGUUGGAGCAACGCUGCAUGCGUAAGAUCAUAACUUCAGCUCAAGAAACAAAGGUGCUGCAUCUUCUGAGAAAGUUAAUAUCAGUGUCUUCCGGGUAUAUAGUAUGGAGCUGGCGAGGAAAUGAUUGUCUAACUCCAUGCCGUGACCCUUUCUCUGUCUAUUUGGAAAAAAAUGCACCGUAGCUUCUGGAUGUGGUCACAAGUUCUGACCUAAGCACCAUAAGCAUAACAUCGUCAAAGACAUCACAAGCCACACUAGGGUCAUACCCUUGCCCUCUCUUUUUCUCGCUACGACAUUGUGUCUUUUACCAAACUUCCAAUACAACAACAAGACCAGCAACAUCUCAAGAACAAGUAUGCAGAAUGCAGCAAAGGCUCUAUACCACAAGUGGUUACUAAAAAUAAAUAGAAUAAGCAGUCAACUGAAACUCCUUCAGAAGCUUCUUUUUCUUCUACUCUCUAUGAAGUAGAGGAGGAUAUACCUGUUAAGAGUGGGCUAUAUGAGGUACCAUCGUUCUCUGCAGUGUUUUAGAGUUUUCAUGUAAACUUAAACAUGAACCUUUAGAAUCUUUAUAUCCAGUCUAUGUUUCUGGACCAAGGAACCGGAAUACUGUUGGUGAACUUGCUGAGGAGGCAUUGUUUCCCAUGUACUGGAAUGAAAAUAAUAAGUCUGUCCCUAGAGGUUGCAUAUUGUAACAAGGUUAGAUGUACUUCACUAGAGUUUGUAUCUACUUAUGAUCCAGAUUUUAGUAGAA